rnacentral:rRNA from 1 species
AUGAACGCUAGCUACAGGCUUAACACAUGCAAGUCGAGGGGCAGCAUGACCUAGCAAUAGGUUGAUGGCGACCGGCGCACGGGUGAGUAACACGUAUCCAACCUACCGGUUAUUCCGGGAUAGCCUUUCGAAAGAAAGAUUAAUACCGGAUAGUAUAACGAGAAGGCAUCUUUUUGUUAUUAAAGAAUUUCGAUAACCGAUGGGGAUGCGUUCCAUUAGUUUGUUGGCGGGGUAACGGCCCACCAAGACAUCGAUGGAUAGGGGUUCUGAGAGGAAGGUCCCCCACAUUGGAACUGAGACACGGUCCAAACUCCUACGGGAGGCAGCAGUGAGGAAUAUUGGUCAAUGGACGAGAGUCUGAACCAGCCAAGUAGCGUGAAGGAUGACUGCCCUAUGGGUUGUAAACUUCUUUUAUAUGGGAAUAAAGUGAGCCACGUGUGGCUUUUUGUAUGUACCAUACGAAUAAGGAUCGGCUAACUCCGUGCCAGCAGCCGCGGUAAUACGGAGGAUCCGAGCGUUAUCCGGAUUUAUUGGGUUUAAAGGGAGCGUAGGCGGACUAUUAAGUCAGCUGUGAAAGUUUGCGGCUCAACCGUAAAAUUGCAGUUGAUACUGGUCGUCUUGAGUGCAGUAGAGGUAGGCGGAAUUCGUGGUGUAGCGGUGAAAUGCUUAGAUAUCACGAAGAACUCCGAUUGCGAAGGCAGCUUACUGGACUGUAACUGACGCUGAUGCUCGAAAGUGUGGGUAUCAAACAGGAUUAGAUACCCUGGUAGUCCACACAGUAAACGAUGAAUACUCGCUGUUUGCGAUAUACAGCAAGCGGCCAAGCGAAAGCAUUAAGUAUUCCACCUGGGGAGUACGCCGGCAACGGUGAAACUCAAAGGAAUUGACGGGGGCCCGCACAAGCAGUGGAGUAUGUGGUUUAAUUCGAAGCAACGCGAAGAACCUUACCAGGUCUUGACAUCCAGUAAAAACCUGAGAGAUCAGGCGUCCCUUCGGGGGUACUGAGACAGGUGGUGCAUGGUUGUCGUCAGCUCGUGUCGUGAGAUGUUGGGUUAAGUCCCGCAACGAGCGCAACCCUUAUCUUUAGUUACUAACAGGUCAUGCUGAGGACUCUAGAGAGACUGCCGUCGUAAGAUGUGAGGAAGGUGGGGAUGACGUCAAAUCAGCACGGCCCUUACGUCCGGGGCUACACACGUGUUACAAUGGGGGGUACAGAAGGCAGCUACACAGCGAUGUGAUGCUAAUCCCAAAAGCCUCUCUCAGUUCGGAUUGGAGUCUGCAACCCGACUCCAUGAAGCUGGAUUCGCUAGUAAUCGCGCAUCAGCCACGGCGCGGUGAAUACGUUCCCGGGCCUUGUACACACCGCCCGUCAAGCCAUGAAAGCCGGGGGUACCUGAAGUCCGUAACCGCAAGGAGCGGCCUAGGGUAAAACUGGUAAUUGGGGCU